rnacentral:rRNA from 1 species
AUUGAACGCUGGCGGCAUGCCUUACACAUGCAAGUCGAACGGCAGCGGGGGAGAAGCUUGCUUUUCCUGCCGGCGAGUGGCGAACGGGUGAGUAAUACAUCGGAACGUGCCCAGUAGUGGGGAUAGCCCGGCGAAAGCCGGAUUAAUACCGCAUACGACCUGAGGGUGAAAGCGGGGGAUCGCAAGACCCCGCGCUAUUGGAGCGGCCGAUGUCAGAUUAGCUAGUUGGUGGGGUAAAGGCCUACCAAGGCAACGAUCUGUAGUUGGUCUGAGAGGACGACCAGCCACACUGGGACUGAGACACGGCCCAGACUCCUACGGGAGGCAGCAGUGGGGAAUUUUGGACAAUGGGGGCAACCCUGAUCCAGCAAUGCCGCGUGCAGGAAGAAGGCCUUCGGAUUGUAAACUGCUUUUGUCAGGGAAGAAAUCCUCUGGGUUAAUACCUCGGGGGGAUGACGGUACCUGAAGAAUAAGCACCGGCUAACUACGUGCCAGCAGCCGCCGUAA